rnacentral:rRNA from 1 species
UACAGAGGAGCCAAGCGUUGUCCGGAUUGACUGGGCGUAAAGCGCACGCAGGCGGAUGCGCGCGUGGGGUGUGAAAUCUGGCCGCUUAACGGCCAGGCGCCAUCCCAUACGGCGCGUCUGGAGGGCUGCAGAGGUCGAUGGAAUUGCCGGUGUAGUGGUGAAAUGCGUAGAGAUCGGGAAGAACACCCGUGGCGAAGGCGACGUGCUGGGCUGAACCUGACGCUGAGAUGCGAAAGUGUGGGGAGCAAACGGG